AGAACGAACGCUGGCGGCAUGCCUAAUACAUGCAAGUCGAACGAUGGCUUCGGCCUUAGUGGCGCACGGGUGCGUAACGCGUGGGAAUCUGCCCCUUGGUUCGGAAUAACAGUUGGAAACGACUGCUAAUACCGGAUGAUGACGAAAGUCCAAAGAUUUAUCGCCAAGGGAUGAGCCCGCGUAGGAUUAGCUAGUUGGUGAGGUAAAGGCUCACCAAGGCGACGAUCCUUAGCUAGGUCUGAGAGGAUGAUCAGCCACACUGGGACUGAGACACGGCCAGACUCCUCGGGAGCAGCAGUAGGGAAUAGUUGGACAAGUGGGACGAAAGCCUGACUCCACGCCAAUCGCCG
rnacentral:rRNA from 1 species